GGCCCUGUAGGGAAAUGGAUGAGGCGUCGGUCUCCUAAAUCGAAGAUUCAAGGUUCGAGUCCUUGCUGGGACG
rfam:Nippostrongylus brasiliensis genome assembly, scaffold: NBR_scaffold0000770